GCUCAUCUCUGCUCCGUCUCCAGCACGUGUGACCGCGGGCCUUCAUCGGGUAAACGUCAGCACAUGCGGCAGGCCCUCUUCUGUUCAGCACAGGCUCGGAUCGUAGAGACGACGCGUUUCAGGAUUUCCUUUGGAAAACAUUCAGGGUGCUUCCUUCAGCAUGUGAUUUACCCUCCGGGAGUGAGCCUCCUGUCCUCUAGAGGCUGGAAAGCCUAAUCCACACGUGACCAGAGGCUCUGCCCAUCAGACCAACCACACGCUUCUUGGGGGCAAGUCUGAAGAGCCAGGCCCUUAGGAGUUGGCUCCAUGGCCACAGGCUGGCCCUUGGGCACAGUUAUGGAACUGGCCCUUCACCUAGCCACCAGCAUCGGGGGCCAGGGUGGCCGCAGUGGGAUUCCUGCUGGAACCCUGUCCCACAGCUUCUCCUCGGCACACGACUCCCGGAUCUAUGGCUUCCAAGCUCGUGGUCACACUUCUGGAGACAUUGUGGGCUAAGGAGUCCUCUGCAGUAGAACCCACCGGAGUGGACUCUGAUGUCUGCGUGCAGGAACCCCAACCCAUUCCUGCAUGGAUCGCUGCUUCCAGCUCCUUCUCCUCACCACACACAGGAUUCUGGCAUCUCAGCUUCAUUCAGCACCAGCUCUCACCGAGUCCAGGUUGCCGUCAACAAUUGGGAAAUCAACUAGUCCAUUCCCAGGUCCAGCGUCUUCAAAUAGAUACCCUUACACAGUCUUCAAGUUUUCUUUCUGUUACCAAUGAUGACCUUGAAUUUCUUUUAGAGGAAAAGAAAAGGCUUUCUGCUGAGGACUUGUCAGACUCUCCGUUAUGAUUGACAUUGGUAUUUUUUUUCAAGUAUUGAAUUUUAUGGGAACUGUCAGCUUUUGACUCAAAAAGAGACUUUUUAUGCUUUGUGGCACGUUCCAUGUCAUUUCCGCCGGAUCCAGGGCCACGUUUAUUUCGGGCUUAUUAGUUCCAAGCCCAUAACUCACUGUUUGCAUUUCGAAUGUGAUGUCUGCAAGUUUUCAAGUUUUCUACUCUUAUUCCCCAUUGGGAAUUCCUCACAAGACAGAUACUGACACUCGAACCACCAGGAACAGCUCUCCUUGCGAGUCUGCAAUGUGUGCUAAGAAGUGUGUCGUUGACGGAAGUAAGCCAGCAAGAUCUCGCCCAUGCAGCUGGCCUCCAGUGAGCUCUGGGGCUUGUGGGGGGGCCCACACUACAGGGGACAGAGGCCCCGGCCGCUUGCUGUGCACCCUGCCUGCCUGUGUCUGUCUGUCUGCCUCUCUCUUGUCCCCUUGUGAUCACAGGUGUGCAGAGAAGAUGAGGCCAUUCGUCAGGACGUGACAGCGAGUGCCCUGCUCCACGCCUGGCCCACUGGCCGCUAUGGGGCCGCCUGGGACUCAAGUCCUGGUCUUGGGUACUGCCCAGGCAGAAUCCAUUCUCAUUUCCUGGAACCGCCUGGAAAGUCACUUGGACUCAUCAACUGAUGCAGCUGGGUGGAAGGACUGACAAGUUGGCUGUCUCUCAGGAAAGGGUAGCGAGGUGAGGCUCGCCCUUUCUGCCUUGUUGCACAUGUAUGCAGGAUGGCAGAGAGAUGCAGCCUUCCACUGGAACCUCCAAGGCACCUGUGCACUCCGGGACUCUGUCUUCUCCCCUCUCCCAGCUCACCAAGCUUCCCACUACUGGGGUUUUUAAGCAGCUUACCAUGAAGGGGCUGGUCGGCUGCAGCUGAGUGGCAGCAGGACCACCGCCUUUGUCCACAGCGAUUUGCAGAGCAGACACUUCGAGUCAGCACAUGGAGGCCUUUUGAUGGAAUUGCUCCUUUUCUCCUCCUCCCAUACUCCAAAGCUUCACAUUUGCAACAUUCUUUGGCCUUCAGCAUUAUUUCAUGGACUCCCUUCAACAGUUCUGAGUUCCUCUCUGCUUGUUAUAGAAAAUGACAUGGUACUUUUUUUUUAAGCAGUGAAACUUCUGAAAUCAUUUAUGGACUGUUUUUAAAAGCACACAGCUUGGGAGCCAAGUGGUGCUUCACAGUGUUCUAGAACUAGGUUUUUCUGUGUCCCGGGGCCCCACUGGCCACCUUAACUGACACAUUCUUCUCCACAUCAAGGCAAGAUUCAAGAAUUGUUAAUGCUAAAAGAUGCUAAAUGGUUUUGCCAUCUGCAUUUGCUUUAUCUUCUUUCUUCUGUAUACAAAAUGAAAGAGACAUUCCUUCAAGUGAAAUCAUCUGAUUCAAGAUGACCCAUCACUGACCUCUGUGUUUCUGUGAUAAGUACUCCAGCUAUACAAAUGGAAAUGUUUAGUCUGCAUUUGUCUCAGAGAGUAGCAGGUGGCAGAGUCCACCUCAGGACACCUUGGUUUUUCGGAAUCAGUGCCCCAUACUGCCGAUCUUUAAUUUUGUUCUUUGUUCUUAGAUUAAUGUAUUCUGCCUUGAAAUGGAUCUUGUUUACUCAACUGUCCCCUUUUGAGACUUACAGGGCUUCCCUGUUUGCUCAGACUAUAAAAAAUCUGCCUGCAAUACAGGAGACCUGGCUUUGAU